GGACCUGUAGCUCAGCCUGGCUAGAGCGCUGGUCUUAUAAGCCAGUGGCCGACGGUUCAAAUCCGUCCAGGUCCA
rnacentral:tRNA from 1 species